CCUGAGUUUACAAUAAAUUUCACUGCAACUAACUUACCGUUCGUAAGCCAACUGAAUGAUCAGACAUCUAGUAAUUACAAGUCCGCAGUGGCAAACAUACAGUAUCUGUUGGACAAAACUUUAAAGAACACCUCCAUCAAUAACAUAUACGAUGGAUGUCAAGUAGUCGACUUUAGCAGUGAAAAUGGUGGUUCUGGGACAAAGGUGGAUGCAGUCUGCAAACUUAAGAAGGAUCCAUCAAGCCCUUCUUUUGACCGAGUUAAAGUUUAUCAUGAAUUCGGUGCGAAUACAAAGAACACUACAACACUUGGCAUAUAUACUCUUC